CAACCUCUGUGCACUUAUUGUAGGCUGGUGAAGGGUCGCAUAGUAAUGUGCGGCUUGAAGCCUGGUCUACGUUUUACUACAAACGCUUCAGUUAUAGAAUGUCUAUCUGCGUAUAACGCAUUUAAUAUACAACUUUCAGCAACGGAUCUCUUGGCUCUCGCAUCGAUGAGAACGCAGCAACAUCAUUAUCGAGUUUUGAACGGGUUGUAGCUGGCCUCUCUGUGGCAUGUGCCUCUGUCUUCUCCCUCUUCACCCUGUGCCUUAUUGUAGGCUGGUGAAGGGUCGCAUAAUAAUGUGCGGCUUGAAGCGGGUCUGUUUUUAUAAAAGCUUACUUAUAGAAAGUCUAUCGCUAUAAGCACUUAAUAUACACUUUCCACGGAACUCUUGGCUCUGCUCGAUAAAGAAG
rnacentral:misc_RNA from 1 species